UCGCCUGUUUAUCAAAAACAUGGUUUCUUGAUUAUAUUAUAAGAGAUUUGACCUGCCCGCUGAAAAAUUUUUGAAGGGCCGCAGUAUUUUGACUGUGCAAAGGUAGCAUAAUCAUUAGUCUUUUAAUUGAAGGCUGGUAUGAAUGGUUGGAUGAGGUGAAUUCUGUUUUAUAUUAAUAAUAUUGAAUUUAGAAUUUAAGUAAAAAGACUUAAAUAGUAUUAAGGGACGAGAAGACCCUAUAGAGUUUGAUAAAUGUAGAAGUUAAUUGAGUUAAAAUUAAAGAAAUUUUUAAUUACUAUAAAAUUUAUUUGAUUGGGGUGACUAGAAGAUAUACAAAACUCUUCUUUAAAUUUAAUAUUAUAAUUAGUUUUAUGAUCCAUAUUUAAUGAUUGAAAGAUUAAAUUACCUUAGGGAUAACAGCAUAAUUCUUUUUAAGAGUUCAUAUCGAAAAAAGAGAUUGUGACCUCGAUGUUGGAUUAAGAUUAGUUUUGGGUGUAGACGUUCAAUAACUAGGUCUGUUCGACCUUAAAAAUCUUACAUGAUCUGAGUUCAAACCGGAGA
rnacentral:rRNA from 1 species